rnacentral:rRNA from 1 species
AUUGAACGCUGGCGGCAUGCCUUACACAUGCAAGUCGAACGGCAGCAUAGGAGCUUGCUCCUGAUGGCGAGUGGCGAACGGGUGAGUAAUAUAUCGGAACGUGCCCUAGAGUGGGGGAUAACUAGUCGAAAGACUAGCUAAUACCGCAUACGAUCUACGGAUGAAAGUGGGGGAUCGCAAGACCUCAUGCUCCUGGAGCGGCCGAUAUCUGAUUAGCUAGUUGGUGGGGUAAAAGCCCACCAAGGCGACGAUCAGUAGCUGGUCUGAGAGGACGGCCAGCCACACUGGGACUGAGACACGGCCAAGACUCCUACGGGAGGCAGCAGUGGGGAAUUUUGGACAAUGGGGGCAACCCUGAUCCAGCAAUGCCGCGUGAGUGAAGAAGGCCUUCGGGUUGUAAAGCUCUUUUGUCAGGGAAGAAACGGUAGUAGCUAAUAUCUAUUACUAAUGACGGUACCUGAAGAAUAAGCACCGGCUAACUACGUGCCAGCAGCCGCCGUAA